rnacentral:rRNA from 1 species
CGCUAGCGGCAGGCCUAAUACAUGCAAGUCGAACGGGAUUGAGAAGCUUGCUUUUCAUGAGAGUGGCGCACGGGUGCGUAACACGUAUGUAACCUACCUUAAUCUGGGGGAUAGCCUCUCGAAAGAGAGAUUAAUACCGCAUAACAUUAUCGGAUAGCAUUUUUUGAUAAUCAAAUAUUUAUAGGAUUAAGAUGGGCAUGCGGAACAUUAGCUAGUUGGUAAGGUAAUGGCUUACCAAGGCUACGAUGUUUAGGGGAUCUGAGAGGAUGACCCCCCACACUGGUACUGAGACACGGACCAGACUCCUACGGGAGGCAGCAGUAAGGAAUAUUGGUCAAUGGGCGCAAGCCUGAACCAGCCAUGCCGCGUGCAGGAAGACGGCCCUACGGGUUGUAAACUUCUUUUGUAUGGGAAAAAACCUCUUUACGUGUAAAGAGCUGAUGGUACCAUACGAAUAAGGAUCGGCUAACUCCGUGCCAGCAGCCGCGGUAAUACGGAGGAUCCAAGCGUUAUCCGGAUUCAUUGGGUUUAAAGGGUGCGUAGGCGGAAUGAUAAGUCAGUGGUGAAAUCCUGCAGCUUAACUGCAGAACUGCCAUUGAUACUGUCAAUCUUGAGUACAUUUGAUGUGGGCGGAAUGUGUCAUGUAGCGGUGAAAUGCUUAGAUAUGACACAGAACACCGAUUGCGAAGGCAGCUCACAAAACUGUAACUGACGCUGAGGCACGAAAGCGUGGGUAUCAAACAGGAUUAGAUACCCUGGUAGUCCACGCUGUAAACUAUGAUUACUCGAUGUUUGCGAUACACUGUAAGCGUUUAAGCG